rnacentral:lncRNA from 1 species
GCUGUGGUGGACAGCAAAGAUCCCCCUCAGGGACCCCUGGCACAGACAAUGGGAUUGGACAGCCCCCGAAUAGGUGGUUUUUGGUUACGUGGGUAAGUUCUUUAGUGGUAAAUUAGGAGAUUUUAGGGCACCCAUUCGUCACCCAAGCAGUGUACACCAUACCCAAUAUGUAAUCUUUUGUCCCUCACCCCCCAUCCCAGCCUUGUCCGUGUUUCACCAUGUUGGCCAGGCUGGUCUCAGAUUCCUAACCUCAGGUGAUCCCCCCACCUCAGCCUCCCAAAGUGCUGUGUGGGGGCCUGGGCAGGGUCCAGGAGGGGCAGGCGGUUCCGAUGCUUGUCCUGCGUCCCCAGGUAGCCCCAGUGUUGGGUUGCGUCUCCACAGUGGCCAAUUGUUCCCCAGAGGACCCCCGAGGGGGAUGAAUCUGGCUCUGUUCACCUGCCGUGUGAGUCACAGCCCAGAGGGCCCAGAGCAGGUCUCAGGUGUGGAGUGACCCCGUUCCCACUUCUGCAUUGGAGGGAGGGGAAUGAGGAGAUGUCCAUGGGAACUGUGCAGGGUCACUGGGAUCCAUCAGACAGUAGGCCUGACAGAGCCACAGGGAGCGGGAGACCACAGGAUGGGGGAAAGGGGAUGGGGUGAGGGGGAAGUGGACAGACAGGCCCCAGGGCCAGGGGCCACCGAUGCUCCACUCCAGCCCAGAGCUCUGUGCAGGAGUGUAAGUCCAGGGUGGCCAGGUCAUCCUUUUUGUUUUUGUUUUGUUUUUUAUAAAAGCUAAGAAUCUGGCCAGGUGCAGUGGCUCACACCUGUAAUCCCAGCACUUUGGGAGGCCGAAGCAGGCGGAUCACUUGAGGUCAGGAGUUCGAGACUAGCCUGGCCAACGUGGUGAAACCCCAUCUCUACUAAAAUUACAAAAUUUAGCCGGAGUUGGUGGCAGGCACCUAUAAUCCCAGGUAUUUAGGAGGCCGAGGCAGGAGAAUAGCUUGAACCCAGGAGGUGGAAGUUGCAGUGAGCUGAAAUCACGCACUACAUUCCAGCUUGGGCGACAGAGUGAGAUGCUGUCUUAAAAAAAAAAAAAAAAAGCUAAGAAUCGGUAACAUACAUUUAUGUGGAUUCUCCUGAUUUUAAAGGGGCAGCUCUAAUUUGGAAUGUGUUUUUUAACGUUAGAUAAUAGGUGAUGUUUGGCACCUACUGUUGGUUGGAUGGGCUGGGAGGACUAGAUCUUUCCAAUACCCUAAACCCCCGUAGGGCUGAGACCUGCCCCCUAGGCCCUAUUUGGCUCCAUGCCUGCUCUCCCUAUACCCCCUGGGAGGACACAGAGGAGGUGGGUCUCCUGGUGGGAAGGGGAUGCUAAGAAUUACUUCCAGCCCCAUAGGACCCCCAUGAAGCCAGACCCCAAGCGGUCCAUGAGCAGAGCAUCUCCUGGGCUCCGCUGACCAACAGUGGCUGCACAGAGCCCCUCAGUGGCAUUGUUUGGUUCAGCAGCCGGGAGCCCUGCCAGAUACCUGUUCACUGUUCAGGUCAGGCAGGGGACCUGAGGGGUCGGGGAGGUGACUGGUCAGCAGAGAUACAGGGAAGGCAAGGGCCAGAGAGUGGGGUUCUGGGGAGCGCACCUAAUUAAAACCUCCUUCAUUUACGCACAGUUACUCACAUGCAAAUAUUUGCACCCACUGACAAGCUUCUGUUGCUGUAGCAAAGGAAGAAUCAAUUCAAGCAAAGCUUUCCUGCGAGUGGGCACUCUCUCCAGUAUCUACCUGGAGAUGCGGGUGUGGGUGCCCGUGGGUGUAAAUGGAGGAGGAUUUCUGACUUGGCAGCCUGCUUCCCACAGUGAUGGGGUGUGGCAGGCAUGGCCACCCUGGCUCCCUUUCUGCCCCCCUAGGGCACCAUGGCAGCCACACUCAGCAAGGGUCCCUUUGGAGAGGGGCCUGGCCUGGCCCAGCAAGGGACUCUGCAG